AUGAGCUCACUGGUUCUACUGCUGGCCACCCUGGGGCUCCUGGUUCAGGGUUCAUCAGGACAAAUCACCCUGACUCAGUCUCCUGAAUCUCAGUCUGUUGUUCCAGGACAGACUGUCUCCAUCAGAUGUAAAACCAGUUCAGAUGUUAGUAGCUCACUCCACUGGUACCUUCAGAAACCUGGAGAAGCUCCUAAACUCCUGAUUUAUUCAGCUACAAGCCGUCAGUCUGGAGUUCCAGGUCGUUUCAGUGGAAGUGGAUCUGGGACUGACUUCACUCUGACCAUCAGUGGAGUUCAGGCUGAAGAUUCAGGAGUUUACUACUGUCAGAGUGAUCACUAUAUGAACAGUCAGUGGUGGUUCACACCGUGAAAAAGAGUCGUACAAAAACUUCCCUCAGUCAGACUGAACAGAAACUGAACUGACUGCUGCAGCUGGAAGCUACAACAGAGACUGAUACACUUCACUGAGGACACACACACACACACACACACACACACACACACACACACACAC